GGGUUGUGAGGUUAAGCGACUAAGCGUACACGGUGGAUGCCCUGGCAGUCAGAGGCGAUGAAGGACGUGCUAAUCUGCGAUAAGCGUCGGUAAGGUGAUAUGAACCGUUAUAGCCGGCGAUUUCCGAAUGGGGAAACCCAGUGUGUUUCGACACACUAUCAUUACGUGAAUACAUAGCGUAAUGAAGCGAACCGGGGGAACUGAAACAUCUAAGUACCCCGAGGAAAAGAAAUCAACCGAGAUUCCCCCAGUAGCGGCGAGCGAACGGGGAGCAGCCCAGAGUCUGAAUCAGCAUGUGUGGUAGUGGAACGGUCUGGAAAGUCCGACGGUACAGGGUGAUAGUCCCGUACACAAAAUCGCAUGUGUUGUGAACUCGAAGAGUAGGGCGGGACACGUGGUAUCCUGUCUGAAUAUGGGGGGACCAUCCUCCAAGGCUAAAUACUCCUGACUGACCGAUAGUGAACCAGUACCGUGAGGGAAAGGCGAAAAGAACCCCGGCGAGGGGAGUGAAAAAGAACCUGAAACCGUGUACGUACAAGCAGUGGGAGCCUUGAUUUAUCAGGGUGACUGCGUACCUUUUGUAUAAUGGGUCAGCGACUUAUAUUCUGUAGCAAGGUUAACCGUAUAG
rnacentral:rRNA from 1 species